CAAUAGCAUAUAUUAAAGUUGUUGCAGUUAAAAAGCUCGUAGUUGGAUUUCUGGCAUGAUGCGCCUGGCCCGCCUCCAUUAGGAGUGUGUGUGCGAGUGCGCGUCUGCCAUCCAUUUGCAGAAUGUGUCUACUCUUCAUUGAGCCGGAUACGUAGAUUGUUAAUCAUUUUACUUUGAAAAAUUUAAGAGUGUUUAAAUGCAGGCUUUUGCUGUGAAUACAUUAGCAUGGAAUAAUAAUCUAGGACUUCGGUUUUAUUUUGUUGGUUUCUAACACUGAAGUAAUGAUUGAUAGGGAUAGUUGGGGGUGCUAGUAUUGGCCGGCCAGAGGUGAAAUUCUUGGAUUCGGUCAAGACUAACUUAUGCGAAAGCAUUCACCAAGGAUGUCUUCUUUAAUCAAAAACGAAAGUUGGGGGAUCGAAGAUGAUUAGAUACC
rnacentral:rRNA from 1 species